rnacentral:lncRNA from 1 species
UGGGAAGGGCUGGCUGGCGCGACCAGCCAUGGGAUCUCCCGGCCGAGCAUCUAGGUUCUGGAGGCUGCAGCCAGAAAACACCGCCCCUUCGCUAAAGGACAAGGACUCCCCUAGAUGGGGAGUGAGCGGCCCGGGCCCAGCCUCAGUAACGCAAGUGCUGCAGUGGCCCUGGGGUGGCUGCCCCCUCCCUGCGCCUGCCUCCCCAGUAGGAAAGGAGCGGGGACCUGGAUCUGCCGUUUGCGCCAGACCCUCAGAACACUCUUCAUCUUGUUCUGUAAGUAGGUUCACUCUGUGAGGUGAAACGUGGUUAUUUAUAAAGGAAACUCUUACACGACGACGUACACGGAAUGUCUGGCUCGUGGGCCGGCAGAAACAAGAAAAUGUUCCUCAAUUCCAGUUAGAGAUCACGGCUCCUCCGGCCCCCCUGACGCGGAGGCACCGCCCACGGGAGACGGGCUGCCCUUUAGCUCCGGGCUUCGCACUGCCCGGAUCGCCUUGCUGGCCAGCUGGCCUUUGAGGAGACACGGCCGCCCACUAUGAGCAAGGAGCACCCCACAAAGCCCGCUGGGUGCGACUUUUUCUCCCCCCCAAUCCAGGCCUCAGAACAGGCUCCUUGUUCACACGCCUGGAACCUGCAGGUGGAUUGGGCUGCUGCCUGUGACUGCCUGGAGUCCUCGCAGAGUCCAGGAGGCCCGAGGAUACACUGGGAGAUGUCCGGGUCCAUGAGGUGGAAGGUCUGGGUUUGAGUCCUGACUCUGGCACCAAGCCAGCUAGGGGACUUUAUUAUUCAUUCAUUCAACAAAUAUGUAUUGAGCAUUUCCUAUGUGCCAGAUACUGUGCCAGGGCUGGGGUUUUAGUAAUGAACAAGGCUGAACAAGAUGGGUGUGGUCUUGCCCUAGUGGAGCUUUGAUUGCAGUGGCAGGAGAUGGUCAACAAGCUAGGAAACAAGUGAGAAAGUUCCAGGUAGUGAUAUAAAAUCAGAAUAACAUGGGGUAAUAGGAUAAAGAGUGCCCAAGGAGGCAACAUUAGAUGGGGAGGUCAGGGAGGGCAGUGUCCACCUUUCCUCCUGCCUGGAAUACGGAUGUGAUACCUGGAGGUGCAGCAGCCAUUUUGUGACCAUGAGGCUACAAGCAUGAGGACGAAAGCUAACAUACUGAAAGUGACAUAAAGGGAAAUGAAAAGAGCCUGGGCCUUCAGUGACAUCUGUGCACCAGGACAGACUUCAUCCUCCAGACUUUGUGACACAUAAAUGCCACUGUGAGCUGGGUUUUUCUAGCAGUUGAAUACAUGUCUAGCUAAAACAGACCUAAAUGACAAAGAAGAUUAAACUGUGGUAAUAUCUGGAGGAAGAACAUUUCAGGCAGAGAGAACAGCAAGUGCAAAGGCCCUGAGGCAGGAACAAGCUUGAAGGAUUUGAAGAACAAAAAUGAAGUCAGUGCAGCUGAAGUGUGACAGAGCUGAGGGACACAGGGGAGCAGGGCUGCACCAGGCCACUUGGGUUCUCCCCUUAGUGCAUGGGAGGGCCGUGGGGAGCUGGAGCAGGAGAGUGACGUGGUCUGACAGAGGCUUUAGGAAGGCCUGUCUGGCUGGCUCCUGUGUGGCAAGCAGCCCACAGGGCACAGCAGCCGUAGAGACCAGAGGUCAGGGGAGGGGUGCCGGCCAUGGCCCAGGCUGGCGGUGUGGGGAGGGAGCCUGGGGCCAUGGGUACACGCGCGUGCCUUAACACGCAUGCAGGACUCUUCCCCGAGACAGACCCCAGUCUGCAUCCGCCCCGCCCCUGCCAGCCGACCCAGGGCCGGUUACACAGCCUGCACCCACCCCACCCGGGCCCAGCCUCCGCCUUCCAGCGCCCUCUCCACUCUGGCCACGCCAAAGGCUCCAGGGGUCCGGCCGGACGCUGCCUGUUACCCCUCUGCGCCCCCCGUGGCCUGGGCAGUGGUCCACGUGCGGCCCCGGAUCCCACCGUCUCCACAGCAGCCUGGAGUCUACCACAAUCCGAGUUCCCAGCGCUCUGAACUCGAAGGAAACGGAGGCGCAGUGCCCACCACAGGCGGCUUCCUCCAACACGGCUCCCUCCGGACCCGGGGGGCUCCCUCUGGGCCUGCUCCACUCGCUGGGCCUGGGCCAGUCGAGUCCUGGCGAGUCCUGGCGCUCCACUCCGCUGCGCAGCAUCUCAGGCUGCUCAGGGGCCCAGCUGACAAGCCAGGUCUAAUCUCUGCCCUGGGGCUGAGGCUUUUGUCUGCAGAACCGAGAAUGUUUUCAUGGGCCUUUGUUGCUUAAAACCUUUUCAGUUUUAUUUCCUGCUAUUUGGGGUCCAGGAGCCACUGCCUUUUCCAGGACUGCAAGGCCUCAAACCCUUUCUUCUGUUUGCAAACUGCUUGCAGACAUCUCUCCUGUCCUGUUAUACACCGAAGGAACAGCCAACGCGCAUUAAUACCCAGCUGGUGCCGACCACAUCCCCUGGAGCCACAGGCUCAGUCCGUCCUGGUCUGCCCUUCAAGUUAUUGCAGGUUACAGUUUUGUUUUGUUUUUUUAACUUUUCCUCUAGCCUCUUAUUUUUCUUUCUUUUGUUUAUUUAUUUUUUUAAGAUUGGCACCUAGCUGACAUCUGUUGCCAAUCUUUUUUCUUUUUUCUUCUCCCCGGAGCCCCCCAGUACACAGUUGUACAUUCUAGUUGCAGGUCCUUCUAGUUGUGGCAUGUGGGACGCCGCCUCAACGUGGCCUGAUGAGCGGUGCCAUGUCCAGCCCAGGAUCUGAACCGGCGAAACUCUGGGGUGCCGCAGCGGAAUGCAUGAACUUAACAGGUGGCUCUUUGCCCUGCGGCGCUUCAGGGACCCGAGUUCUCUACAGCCACUUGGCUCACCGUCCCCAAAGCCUUGUCACCGACUGCGUCCGGCAGUGGGAUGGGAAGAACAGAGCCUGGGGGGCGCCGGCCACGCUCCCGCGCACUCGCCCGGCUGGAGCCAGACCCCGCGCACACCUGCCGCACCGGCCGCGAGGGGGGCGCAGGCCCAGCCGGGCGGCCUGAGUCGCCAGCGCCCCGGGUCAGCCCCUGGCUCUCCGCUUCCAGCCGCGCCGACUUCAGCAGACGCCCUCACCCUCUCUCCGAGUCCACGUCCACGCACUGGGUUGGACUUUUUGCCUCAGAAGGCAGAAGAAACACCAAUGAAUUCUCACUCCCCAGUCUCCUCCUCGACAGCGGACUGACCGCGGAGAGGCCGGCUCCCGCCCGACACGCGUGACGUCCUCAUCGAGCCUCCCCCCGCGCCAGGACGGCCUGCGGAAGGACGCCUCUCGAGGUCCUCCCUGACCUCACGGGGAAGACUCCCCGAUUCACGGUCGGCCAGUCCCCGCGACCCUCCGGCCAGCUCAGGGUGCCCCGCUGCCACCUGCGGCCGCAGCCACCACGCCUCUGGCAGCAGGGCUGUCCGCUCUGUCAGCAGAUCCCAGCCUCCGGUGUGGACGCACCGGCGCAAGGCUGGAUGCCCCGCCCCUGCAGGCAGGAAUAUUCGGUAUAUUUUAUCCCAACCAUCUGUCUGCUGGUGUCCAGAUGCCUCCCUCCCCCGACCCCAGGAGGCCGUGGCAGGAGCCGAGGAGUAAAUGAUGAGGAUUUAGGCUGGUUACUUUAAAAAUUGCAGAUGAGAGGGAGGCUCCGUGGACUGGAAUUUGCUUGCCCUUUGAGAGACGUUUGCAUUUGUGAAGGAAGUCUCCAUCUGUGGGGGUGUCUCCCUCUGCAGCAGGAGGAAGGCGGGAUGGCCUUAUCUCUGGAAACUCUUAAUGGGGAAGGCAAGGACUUCAGUUGUUUACUGUCUGGCAACCUCAUGUAACUGACCCC